AGAGUGAAAGAGGAGGGCAAGGAAGAAGAGUUCUUUCAUUUAAUGCCCAUUCAGCUGUCAGCGAGCUUUGGAUAAAGUGGUUUUCUGUGAAGACCCUGAUUGAUCGGUCUUGCUUUGAGACAAUUGAUGAUUCUUCUCCUGAAUUUAACAAUUUUGCAGCUAUUUUGGAACAGAUUUUAAGCCACCGGCUAAAAGGUCAAGUAACCUGGUUUGGUUAUGAAAGUCCUCGUAGCUUCUGGGACUAUAUCAGAGUGGCUUGCCGGAAAGUUUCACAGAAUUGUAUCUGCAGCAUUGAAAAUAUGGAAAAUGUCAGUUCUUCUAGAGCUAAGGGUAGAGCCUGGAUCAGAGUAGCACUCAUGGAAAAACAUUUAUCUGAAUACAUCUCUACAGCUCUGAGAGACUUCAAAACAACCAGGAGAUUUUAUGAAGAUGGAGCAAUUGUCUUGGGUGAAGAAGCAAAUAUGCUUGCUGGCAUGCUUCUAGGACUCAAUGCUAUUGAUUUCAGUUUCUGCCUAAAGGGAGAGGGGCUGGAUGGCAGUUUUCCUGCUGUAAUAGACUAUACACCAUAUUUGAAGUAUAUCCA
rnacentral:sRNA from 1 species